GUGUCACCUGGGGAGCCUUCAGGAAGGUCCCGGGAGCAGCUGAUGCAGGCCCUGUGAGGACGGUGUCGGCCUCCGAGGGCGGCCGAAGCGUACGGGCCGAGGAGCCGGGCGCCCUUAGGAGAAUGCCGUGACCGAGGGACCGCAUCCCGGUGACUGCGGGAAUUUCCCGGCGAGAGAGGCGACCUUCCUUGGCAGCGGACGUGGAUUCUCCUCCCAGGAUGUGCGAGAGAUAAGUCGAGGGCUGUGACACGCAGAGGGGAUGAAAGCGAGGUGCUGGGCGGGCCUUUUGAGUAGCUUCUUUGGCGGCAGGGGUGUGCGGGAGGUGGCCCCUUAGGCCCCAUCGAGGAGAAGUCUCCCAGCGCUGAGGUGCUCAGGGCAGAGCGGUCUCGGUGUGUGUCACUGGUGUCACUUGUCUGUCGUGCCUUCUGUGUCUUUUGGAUGUCUCGUGCCUUCAGUGUCUUUUGCCUUAUUCCUUUGAGGAGGCUUAUCAUUUGUCCUGUUCUGUGUCACGGGUGUCUGGGUAUGUGGGCCGAAGCCGCUCUGCCCUGCUGCAAAGCCUGGGGUAGGCAUAAUUGGACAAGUCCCUGGGGCCUGGAAAUUUGGAAUGCAGGGCGUAGGUGGGCUCUGGAUGGGAUUUAUAGAUCGAGGCAAGGUGCCUGGAGCUCUUAGGUUAUCCUGCAGCACUCUGACUUUUGUCCUAACCUUCUUUCAGAUGCAGCCGGAUGAAGUGUGUGGCAGAGCGGCCCGUGCCGGGUGAGUGGGUUUCCCCGAGCAGGUCAGUCUGCGUUUGUCUUUGCAGGGGAAGCGUAC